rnacentral:misc_RNA from 1 species
ACAAAAAUAUUCAAUACAACUAUACGACUCAACACGUCCACAUAACACUAACAGAUCUCUAAACUCUUAAACUCAAAUACAUAAUUUAUACAUAGACAUACAUAACAUAGACAAUACACGGUCAAGAUGCCAUGUUUCAAGCAGGAGAAGAGCCUUGAGUUCCGCUCUCGGCGGGAUACCACCAAUGAUAGGGAUCCGAUGGCGCCCAAGCCGGUUCGUCCUCGCGCCAUGCGCUACCAUGGACUCUUUGGCAUGUCCAUUGCAGCCCAGCAUCUCAUUGUGGACGAGAAAUGGACGCCCAGCUGUAUUACCGAUCUCUAUGGCAACAUGGCCGAGCUGCUGAAGCGGCGCGUUAUCUACAAACAGCACGAGACAAGGACCCAUCGCGCCCUGCUCCUGGUGGAGAACAAGCGCGUGAAAACUGAAUGCGCAGAUGGGCGCCUCAAGCUGCAGAAAAUCACGGUCGGCAACAAUGCGCACCAGAUCCGGAACUUUCUGAUUAUGCACCGGGAUAUGCAGCGGCUGUACCAGAGGAUGCCCAUCUAUCUGGUCGCCGACAACAUCAAUCAACGGACCUUCGUUAUGCGCAAGGAGCGCGAUCGUCUGGACGCUCGACUGCAGCAGCUGAAGCAUAAAUAUCGAGUUUUAUUGAUGGAGAGGUCCAGGGCGGUAAAUAUGAUUAAGUACGAGAAUGAGUAUAUCCUGCAGGAGGAGCUGCAGUCGCGUGUGCUCCUCAAGAAGAUAGAAAACUCGAAGGUGCGCUUGAAUGCCAUACGCACCAUAAAUACGACAUAUAAGAAAAUGCGGCAGGUCCUGCUGCAGGAUGAGAUUUUCUAUGAGCCGAUUCUGCGCUCCCUCGAUGACGAUAUGGAGGACCAGGUGAACUUCAUCAAGCACAUACUCUAUCUGGGCAUGCCGGCCAUCGCCAAGUUCAAAGUCCUGAAUCGCGAGCUCUUGCAAUUGUCGGAGAAGGCUCGCAAGAAUCAACUUGCCAAGAUUCAGAUAUUGAACUCGCUGAAAAAGCCAAUUGUUAUUGGACCACCCCAGGUCGUAGUCAGAGAGAUACAGACCAAUAAUCCCAAGCGUUAUCUUCGCCUCACCGAGAGCAUGGCGAUUCUCAAAGCUGAGCUGCAGACGAUUGAAAAUACAAUCAAAAAUCUUCGAUUGACCGUUUUGUGUUCGCAAGCUAAGGAGAUUUAUCCACGCAUUAAGACUCAAAUGGAAAACAAUGAAAAACUAAAACGGGAAAUCGAAAAAAAGAUGCAGGCCAAACUGAUGCUUGAGCAAAAAUUGAAAUGCUCCACUCUGCUCUCGGAUGUACUACUAAACAAUCUAUCCGAGGAAGAAAUUAACCCAUUUACCUGCCCGACAGUCGUCUGGAGCGCAUUAGAGAGCUACAGCUAAUGAUGAAGAGCGACAAUGAGUUUGAGGAGCAAAGUAUCGCUCACAUACAGAAUCGGGCCGAUGCCUAUGUGCUAAUGCGAUGGACCGUUUGGAAUCUGUGGGAGAUCCUUCGUCAUGUAGAUCGCAAUCCUAAACUGUACAAAAGACAAUACCCGAAUGAAUCCUUGAAACU